GGAUCUUGCUUGUUUUCAAAGCUUGCAUGUGCUGAAAUGCCAUACAGCCUGUGUGUGGGGGAGGAAGGAGGAGUGAAUGCAUCACUCCUCUUGUAAUCUCUCUGUUGUUUCUCUGCUUGUCACCACUUCAUAUUUCAACAGCUUUGCAAAAGGGGAGAUGAGAAUGCAGAGAAUGAAGUUUGGAGUUAAGACAGAUUACAAGGUUUAGGAAACUAUUAGCAAAGCAUUUUUGCCUUAGUCGAUGACUUAAUGACCUAAGGACAAACUAAAGCACCAGAGGGGUUUGAGUUUAACUGCCAGCAUGGACUCAAGUGUUGCAAGCUCUUCCUGUUUGUUAACGAAUGUUAACAUCAUUAUGGAAUGGUUAGAAAAUCUGACAGCAGAGUCCCUUGAAAGCAAAACCUUCCUUUUGGUGAAUGGAAGAGAUACUAACGGAGAGCUGUAUCAACUGGUCAAUGCCAUUUGGACCAUGACUGAAGACAAUAUGUUUGGGGACAUCAGGAAGCUCACUCUCCUCUUUCCCCAGCCUACUGUAUGGGAGCAGUGGGGGGUUUCCUCUCUCUCCUGUCUCAUGCACAGAAAGUGGAAUCUUUCUCUCUCUACGCCUCGCACACCUGCCUGUGGCCAUGAAGGGCACGGAGUGCCCGGUGACCUGUAAGCCUGCCCUCCACUCCUCCCCUUCUGGACUUUCCUACACAGCUACAGUAGAGCAAAAGACAGAAAAGGUGCUAUUAUUCUAAUAUGGUACAACGUACAAGCACUGAAAUACCCAGAAACAAAAGUGACAUUCUGUGCUUUUGCCUCAUAUUCAUCUUUUUUCUUCUCAAAUCUAAAUUGCUCGGGUAUACAGCAAAAAUACCAAUUUCGACACCAUUGUCCAUAUGGAGGUACGUAUGGAGGUACACAUAGUGAUUAUAGUGAUUUUGAACAGUGUGAUUGUGCUACUGAGCCCUCAUUCACUUCUGUGCAGUGCAAACAUUGUAAUACAAUGGUCAUGUGCUUUUUAACAAAGAAAUUGUGUUUAGUGUCCUUGUCCCACUGCUUUUUUAUUUUUUGUGUGAACUCCUAUGUAAAUUAUGUAAAUUGUAUGUUUGUUGUAUCAUUACUAUUGUUCUGCAAAACAAUUUCGUUAAAAAUAUCCAUGGAACCUUCAUGAAUUUUCUCUGUGCAUCAGUAGUGACAUUUUUUAAUGUUCCUCUUUGUAACAGCUUCAGCUGUCAUUCUUCUAUAACUGUAAGAAAUAGCAUUUUAUGUUUUAAUAUUAGCAUUAUGCAUCUUACAACAGACAUUUGAAUGGAAAAAAAUGGACUGUCAAGGAAGUAAAACCUACAGAUAUUUAUUCCCCACCCCUAGGAAGACACAAGGACAAGAGAAAUAAGAGAAAGUAUUGAAAUGAUUGUCUAAUAUGACAUGCUAUUAAAAUGCUACAUUUGUGAUUGGUACAACUGUCUUCCUUUUUGAUGGCAUUGGUUUGCUUGUUCUCAGUGGUUCAUCUCGUAAUUUAUUCAUUUUCAAAGUUUCUGGUUUUAAAAUAGCAGUGGUGUGUUUAUGAUUCCUUUUGAAGAGUUAAAGCUGGCUGGAAUAAGUAACGGAUCCUUGCAACAAAAAUAGAAGCAACCACAAUUCUGUUAAUCUGCAAGGGGCAGGACAUUUAUUAAUAUGAUAAACAUUAUAUAAUAGUAACAAUAAACCUUCUCCCCAUUUACAGGAUGUCACACAAUGGCCUGAGGAAGGCCAAAGUAGGUCUAUUCUAUUACAGAAUGGCUCCGCCACAAAAGCACCCAAGCAAAACAAGUGCAGUCUAUCCACAGCACUCCUAGUCCCCCACAUCAGAAAACAAAACCCCAAAAAAGAAAAACCUCCUUUUCUCACUGAUCACUCUCUGUUUUCAGUCACACUACCUGCUAUUCCAACCACCAACAACCAACCCCUCUUAGGUUUGGAGGGACCAGCUUAAAUAGCUUGUAAGCCCCUCCCCCUCUGGAACAAACCAUUUCUCCAAUUCAAUGCAUGUGGUUUUUCCCAUCUCCUUAAAUAGCUCUUGAGAACUGGGGUUAGGUUUGGCCUUCUGAGGCUACCAUAGGCUAACCACCCCAGAAGUACCAACACCAAACAAACAGUGAGUAUCAUCCAUGAGUGCUCUCCAUUCACACCACAAUACUCACCCAUACCUGUGUUUAAGUAUAUGAAAUUAGGUAUGUUUAUGUAUGUGAAUGUAUAUGAGAUUAAGUAAUAUCAGUUACUAGUCAAUCCCUGAGGAUCUAGCAACCUCUCAAUGGAAGGUGUAUGAAUAUUGUAUUUUCUGUGCAACAUGUAC
ensembl:lincRNA